GAUGAUAGCUUGCUAUCAGGCGUCGAGCGGCGGACGGGUGAGUAAUACUUAGGAAUCUACCUAGUAGUGGGGGAUAGCACGGGGAAACUCGUAUUAAUACCGCAUACGACCUACGGGAGAAAGGGGGCAGUUUACUGCUCUCGCUAUUAGAUGAGCCUAAGUCGGAUUAGCUAGAUGGUGGGGUAAAGGCCUACCAUGGCGACGAUCUGUAGCUGGUCUGAGAGGAUGAUCAGCCACACCGGGACUGAGACACGGCCCGGACUCCUACGGGAGGCAGCAGUGGGGAAUAUUGGACAAUGGGGGAAACCCUGAUCCAGCCAUGCCGCGUGUGUGAAGAAGGCCUUUUGGUUGUAAAGCACUUUAAGCAGUGAAGAAGACUCCGUGGUUAAUACCCACGGACGAUGACAUUAGCUGCAGAAUAAGCACCGGCUAACUCUGUGCCAGCAGCCGCGGUAAUACAGAGGGUGCAAGCGUUAAUCGGAAUUACUGGGCGUAAAGGGAGCGUAGGUGGCUCGAUAAGUCAGAUGUGAAAUCCCCGGGCUCAACCUGGGAACUGCAUCUGAUACUGUUGAGCUAGAGUAUGUGAGAGGAAGGUAGAAUUCCAGGUGUAGCGGUGAAAUGCGUAGAGAUCUGGAGGAAUACCGAUGGCGAAGGCAGCCUUCUGGCAUAAUACUGACACUGAGGCUCG
rnacentral:rRNA from 1 species